AACGCUAGCUACAGGCUUAACACAUGCAAGUCGAGGGGCAUCACGAACAAAGCUUGCUUUGUUUGGUGGCGACCGGCGCACGGGUGAGUAACGCGUAUCCGACCUACCCAUAACACGGGCACAGCCGCUCGAAAGAGUGAUUGAUUCCCGAUAUGUCAUUAGAGUAGGUUUAAUGAUGAAAGAUUCAUCGGUUAUGGAUGGGGAUGCGUAAGAUUAGGUAGUAGGCGGGGUAACGGCCCACCUAGCCGACGAUCUUUAGGGGUUCUGAGAGGAAGGUCCCCCACACUGGUACUGAGACACGGACCAGACUCCUACGGGAGGCAGCAGUGAGGAAUAUUGGUCAAUGGGCGGAAGCCUGAACCAGCCAAGUAGCGUGAAGGAUUACAGCCCUACGGGUUUUAAACUUCUUUUAUAUAAGAGUAAUGUGCACUACGUGUAGUGUAUUGCAAGUAUUAUAUGAAUAAGCAUCGGCUAACUCCGUGCCAGCAGCCGCGGUAAUACGGAGGAUGCGAGCGUUAUCCGGAUUUAUUGGGUUUAAAGGGAGCGUAGGCGGGAUAUUAAGUCAGUCGUCAAAGCCUGUGGCUCAACCACAGCCCGCGAUUGAUACUGGUAACCUUGAGUGCGGAUGAGGUGGAUGGAAUUCGUGGUGUAGCGGUGAAAUGCUUAGAUAUCACGAAGAACUCCGAUUG
rnacentral:rRNA from 1 species